AUGCAGAGGUCAGGCCGAACCUCCCUCCUGUUCCUUUCUGUUGGUCUUUGUUCCCGAGCUUGUGAUGUCAAGUACACCCAUCUCUUCUCCCCUCCAGGUUUCCUGUUCCAAACAGGACACAUUCCGGAAUCAGAAGACAGGGAACGAAGAAGUGGGAGCCCCGGUGGAAGAUUCCGAAGCUGGGAAGGAGGAGAAAAUGAAACGUUGCCCGAAGACAAUGGCCGAGACAGCAGGUCCCACCCUGCACGGCCUGCCAGCACCUCUCCCCCCAGCCCCGUCUCCUCCUCUGCAGCUUGGAUCUGUACGUUAACAUUGCUCGUCUGCAGUAAGAAAUAAAAAGAACCCCCCCCUCGGAACCAAUCUAUAAAAACAACGUGUCUGGCCGUGAACAUGCAGGGGCGGCUAUAGACUGUCAGAGGUGGAGGUUUGAGCCAGACUUUGCUGACUGCUGGCCCGAUGGAUACAAGGGCCCCUCAUCCAUUCUUGGGGCCCCCACCUCUGAGUCCUAGGACUUCUCCCCAGCUGCCAGCCAGGCGGGGGAGGGGAGAGGGGCCCAAGCAGCUGCAGGGGCUGUGUUAGUAAACACUUUCCUGGGUUCCCAUUUUCCUCACCACCCCCUACCCUUCUCCACUCCUGAUGCCCCGUUACACACCACCCCCCCCCCCAACCCCAGCAUCCCCUUUUCUGUGGCCUGCACAAUGAGCUCAUUGUCCUGGGUGUGAUUUGAAUAAGGGAUCGGCGGGCCCGUUCCCAGCAUUGUCCGAGGGGCUGGGAAAAACCCCAGCACAGGCAGGAGGACCAGGCCAGACAGAGACAGAUGCCUAAAUUAGCAACAAAGCUUUGUGCACGUCCCCUGGACAAGGGCUCGCCUUGUUUGCGUGGACUCGAGGGUGUGGAGCUGGCCGGCUGCUCGCAUGUCUCCCCAUGUUAAUUAGUUUUGCAUGCAUGUCUGAGAAGGUGCCAGGGGGGAUGUGUUUGCCUUUCCCCGGGAGGGGGACCUGUUUGUGGCGGUGGAGCUGAGCUGGGCCGGGCCUACCUGGGGAGCCAGGCUCUGAGCCUGGGUGGGAAUUUCGGCGUCCUCAUCCUGCUUUUCUGUCUCUCUGCCCUUUGGGGGGCCUGGCUCUGCUCCCUGUAUCCCCCGCCCCCUCUGUUCUUACCCUAGCACGUCUGAAAGUUGGUUAGCUCUGACUACAGGGAACUCACUGGCUUCCACCCAGACCCAAGCCAGUGCCUGUCCAUCUGGCAGUCUGUCUCUCGUGACACAGGGCCCCCCGGGACGGGCAGCAGAAGCGGCCAGUCUGGGCUCUCCUCCGUCCCCGAGCCAGAUGGCCAGUCU
rnacentral:lncRNA from 1 species